AUUGAACGCUGGCGGCAGGCCUAACACAUGCAAGUCGAACGAGUGGCGGACGGGUGCGUAAUGUCUGGGAAACUGCCUGAUGGAGGGGGAUAACUACUGGAAACGGUAGCUAAUACCGCAUACCAUCGGAUGUGCCCAAAUGGGAUUAACUAGUAGGUGGGGUAAAGGCUCACCUAGGCGACGUUCCCUAGCUGGUCUGAGAGGAUGACCAGCCAAACUGGAACUGGGACAAGGUCCAAACUCCGACGGGAGGCAGCAGUGGGGAAGAUUGCACAAUGGGCGCAAGCCUGAUGCAGCCAUGCCGCGUGUAUAAAGAAGGCCUUCGGGGUGUAAAGUACUUUCAGCGAGGAGGCGUUACUCGCAGAAGAAGCACCGGCUAACUCCGUGCCAGCAGCCGCGGUAAUAC
rnacentral:rRNA from 1 species